GUGUUCCCUUUGGCUGCACAUAUGUACUAAAAUUAGAACAAUACAGAGAAGAUUAGCACGGCCCCUGCACAAGGAUGACAUGCAGAUUCGUGAAGUGUUCCAUAUUUAA
ensembl:snRNA U6 U6 spliceosomal RNA